rfam:Escherichia coli str. K-12 substr. MG1655, complete genome.
GGCCGGAUAAGGCGUUCACGACGCAUCCGGCAUUAGGUGCUCAAUGCCUGAUGCGCUACGCUUAUCAGGCC